AGCAGCCGCGGUAAUUCCAGCUCCAAUAGCGUAUAUUAAAGUUGUUGCAGUUAAAAAGCUCGUAGUUGAAUUUCGGGAUCAAUCUGCCGGUCGUGCCUCCGGUAUGCACUGGUUUUAUUGGUUUCUCCCUUCUGACGAAUCAUGAUGUCAUUAAUUUGGUGUCAUGGGGAAUCAGGACUGUUACUUUGAAAAAAAUUAGAGUGUUUAAAGCAGGCUCACGCUUGAAUACAUUAGCAUGGAAUAAUGAAAUAGGACGUUUGAUUCUAUUUUGUUGGUUUCUAGGAUUGACGUAAUGAUUAAUAGGGAUAGUUGGGGGGCAUUAGUAUUCAAUUGUCAGAGGUGAAAUUCUUGGAUUUAUUGAAGACUAACUACUGCGAAAGCAUUUGCCAAGGAUGUUUUCAUUAAUCAAGAACGAAAGUUAGGGGAUCGAAGACGAUCAGAUACCGUCGUAGUCUUAACCAUAAACUAUGCCGACUAGGGAUCGGAUGAUGUUAAUUUUUUUAAUGACUCAUUCGGCGCC
rnacentral:rRNA from 1 species